rnacentral:rRNA from 1 species
CCUACGGGAGGCAGCAGUGAGGAAUAUUGGUCAAUGGACGAGAGUCUGAACCAGCCAAGUAGCGUGAAGGAUGACUGCCCUAUGGGUUGUAAACUUCUUUUAUAUGGGAAUAAAAUGUUCCACGUGUGGGAUUUUGUAUGUACCAUAUGAAUAAGGAUCGGCUAACUCCGUGCCAGCAGCCGCGGUAAUCCGGAGGAUCCGAGCGUUAUCCGGAUUUAUUGGGUUUAAAGGGAGCGUAGACGGAUUGUUAAGUCAGUUGUGAAAGUUUGCGGCUCAACCGUAAAAUUGCAGUUGAAACUGGCAGUCUUGAGUACAGUAGAGGUGGGCGGAAUUCGUGGUGUAGCGGUGAAAUGCUUAGAUAUCACGAAGAACUCCGAUUGCGAAGGCAGUUCACUGGACUGCAACUGACACUGAGGCUCGAAAGUGUGGGUAUCAAACAGGAUUAGAUACCCGGGUAGUC